GGAAAGGUGGCUGAGCUGGUCUAAGGCGCACGACUGGAAAUCGUGUGUUCGGUUAACCCCGACCGCGGGUUCGAAUCCCGCCCUUUCCGCCA
rnacentral:tRNA from 1 species